rfam:Xanthobacter autotrophicus Py2, complete genome.
GCGGGGCUGCGGGGCACGUUAGGAGACAUUUCCCCGGGGCCUUAUCGAUCCUUAAGGGAGCUGUCCCUGACCUCGUCCCUGGACUUGGACACACGGCGCCCACCUACGUUGUAGGUUCCCGGGAUCGAACUCCGACGGCUUCUGUGGCUCCGCA